AAGAUUUUAUGUUAAUACGAACCCAAACAAAAGGCCUUCAAAGCUUAAAAUAAAAGUGCAUCCUUUUAAAUCUUA
rnacentral:tRNA from 1 species